UACGUAGGGGGCAAGCGUUGUCCGGAUUUAUUGGGCGUAAAGAGCGUGUAGGCGGCCUGGAAGGUCAGCUGUGAAAACUCGAGGCUCAACCUCGAGACGUCGGUUGAAACCACCUGGCUAGAGUCCGGAAGAGGAGAGUGGAAUUCCCGGUGUAGCGGUGAAAUGCGCAGAUAUCAGGAGGAACACCGGUGGCGAAGGCGGGUCUCUGGGCCGAUACUGACGCUGAGGAGCGAAAGCGUGGGGAGCGAACAGG
rnacentral:rRNA from 1 species